rnacentral:lncRNA from 1 species
AAUAAGAGGUCCUUAGUGGUUGAGUCAUAAGAAAAGAAUGUUGUUCAUUGGGUGAGUGAUGUGAGUGUUUUUCAUUUUGGGUUAUGGGAUGAAUGAAAAGGGUGUAGAAUUUGUAAUCACUUAGGAAUGGGGUAGAAUGAUGAGGAUGAAUCCAUGUAUGCAUGAAUUGCUCAUAGUCUUAGAUAAAUUUUGCAUAAUGAUCAAGCUCCUUGAUUCUUGAGUGAUUGCCACCUUAAAAUGACAACAUUUGAAUCCUUCUCUUCAU